AACGUAGGAGGCGAGCGUUAUCCGGAUUUACUGGGCGUAAAGGGUGUGCAGGUGGGCCGUUAAGUGGUGCAUGAAAGUGAAGGGCUUAACCCUUCGAGGCUGUGCCAGACUGGGGGUCUAGAGUACGGGAGAGGGUUGUGGAAUUCCGGGUGUAGUGGUGAAAUGCGUAGAGAUCCGGAGGAACACCAGAGGCGAAGGCGGCAACCUGGCCCGUAACUGACACUGAGACACGACAGCAUGGGGAGCGAACGGG
rnacentral:rRNA from 1 species